UACAGAGGUGGCAAGCGUUGUUCGGAAUUACUGGGCGUAAAGGGCGCGUAGGCGGUUCGUUAAGUCCUGUGUGAAAUCCCCCGGCUCAACUGGGGAACUGCACAGGAAACUAGCGGGCUUGAGUUCGGGAGAGGGAAGCGGAAUUCCGGGUGUAGCGGUGAAAUGCGUAGAUAUCCGGAGGAACACCAGUGGCGAAGGCGGCUCACUGGACUGGUAUUGACGCUGAGGUGCGAAAGCGUGGGGAGCAAACAGG
rnacentral:rRNA from 1 species